rnacentral:rRNA from 1 species
AGUGGCGGACGGGUGAGUAAUGUCUGGGAAACUGCCUGAUGGAGGGGGAUAACUACUGGAAACGGUAGCUAAUACCGCAUAACGUCGCAAGACCAAAGAGGGGGACCUUCGGGCCUCUUGCCAUCGGAUGUGCCCAGAUGGGAUUAGCUAGUAGGUGGGGUAACGGCUCACCUAGGCGACGAUCCCUAGCUGGUCUGAGAGGAUGACCAGCCACACUGGAACUGAGACACGGUCCAGACUCCUACGGGAGGCAGCAGUGGGGAAUAUUGCACAAUGGGCGCAAGCCUGAUGCAGCCAUGCCGCGUGUAUGAAGAAGGCCUUCGGGUUGUAAAGUACUUUCAGCGGGGAGGAAGGCGAUAAGGUUAAUAACCUUGUCGAUUGACGUUACCCGCAGAAGAAGCACCGGCUAACUCCGUGCCAGCAGCCGCGGUAAUACGGAGGGUGCAAGCGUUAAUCGGAAUUACUGGGCGUAAAGCGCACGCAGGCGGUCUGUCAAGUCGGAUGUGAAAUCCCCGGGCUCAACCUGGGAACUGCAUUCGAAACUGGCAGGCUAGAGUCUUGUAGAGGGGGGUAGAAUUCCAGGUGUAGCGGUGAAAUGCGUAUAGAUCUGGAGGAAUACCGG